GACAGAGGGUGCAAAUGUUGCUCGGAAUUACUGGGCGUAAAGCGCGUGUAGGUGGAUUGGUGUGUCAGAUGUGAAAUCCCUGGGCUCAACCCAGGAACUGCACCUGAAACUACCAGUCUUGAGUGGUGGAGAGGGAAGUGGAAUUCCUGGUGUAGAGGUGAAAUUCGUAGAUAUCAGGAGGAACACCAGUGGCGAAGGCGGCUUCCUGGACACCAACUGACGCUGAGACGCGAAAGCGUGGGGAGCAAACAGG
rnacentral:rRNA from 1 species